rnacentral:rRNA from 1 species
UACGAAGGGGGCUAGCGUUGCUCGGAAUCACUGGGCGUAAAGCGCACGUAGGCGGACUCUUAAGUCGGGGGUGAAAUCCUGGAGCUCAACUCCAGAACUGCCUUCGAUACUGGGAGUCUCGAGUUCGGGAGAGGUGAGUGGAACUGCGAGUGUAGAGGUGAAAUUCGUAGAUAUUCGCAAGAACACCAGUGGCGAAGGCGGCUCACUGGCCCGGUACUGACGCUGAGGUGCGAAAGCGUGGGGAGCAAACAGG